UACGUAGGGUGCAAGCGUUGCUCGGAAUUACUGGGCGUAAAGCGCACGUAGGCGGAUCUUUAAGUCAGGGGUGAAAUCCUGGAGCUCAACUCCAGAACUGCCUUUGAUACUGAGGACCUUGAGUUCGGGAGAGGUGAGUGGAACUGCGAGUGUAGAGGUGAAAUUCGUAGAUAUUCGCAAGAACACCAGUGGCGAAGGCGGCUCACUGGCCCGAUACUGACGCUGAGGUGCGAAAGCGUGGGGAGCAAACAGG
rnacentral:rRNA from 1 species